GAUUCACUAAAAACUGUCCUGAAUUCCUAAGAAUUUAUUUACCGCAAAACUGACAAAGUGUUUAUUUAAAAAAUGAGGUUGAAGGUAGUCCUUUUCUUUCAUUUCAUUCAUUUUCAUUUUCUUUCUUAAGUAUGGCUAACACAAUAUCUAAUCAAUUAAAAGUUUAUAUUUUCACGUGAAAAGUUUCUUUAGAUAAUUAUUAUCAACAUGAUGACUAACUCUUACGGAUUAAUACGUGUCUGUAGGGCAAUCCGGUGGACUUGAUCGGCUUCCUACUUCGAAAGUUGAGUAAUCGGUGUCGCUUUCUUACGCAUCUUUGAACUGUAUAAAUGUUUUAAAAUUGUUUGAUCCAGAAUGUACCACACCGGACAAUCAAGAAGGCAGGUGCCUUGACUACAGAAAAUACGAUCAGUGUGCAGAUACCAGGGCAAUGUUACGAUCGUUUGCUGUCCGAACGAUCCAAACAAAGAGAAGAGAGAAAUUUUAAUAAAAACUGUGUAUAAGUAUAAGGCUUUGCGACCACCAUACUGUGGUUUUAGCAACGUCUCUCAUACCAGGGUGGUGGUCGAUGGUAAACCAGCUGAACUUGGUACGUUUUAUGUCUUUCUUUCCGAUUAAUAAUAAGCCAUUUACUGCAAAGAAUGAACUUUAAAGGCAUUAAACAGCACAUCAAUGUACAUUUCAAUUAGACUAAAUAAUAAUGCUAUGAUUUUAUCGGUAGUAACUUUACUUAUUAACUUGAAUUAUUUCUUUCUUUUACUUCAUGUUAGGAAGAGUAUCUUUUUGCUCGAAAUAAAAAAUUGAUAUAGGAGUAAUAAUAUGGAUAGAGAUCAAAAACUGUUAGGGCAGAAAUUACACGUUUGAACUUUAUAGUUCAGUAUAGUUCAAAUAGAAAUUAUAUAGAAUUAUUUAAUAAUUUGUAUUCCACUGGAAUAAAAAUUUAAUUUCUGUCUUUAUCAAAUCUCUAUUUCAGAGUAUUUGUACGUAUGUACUUAUCGUCUGCUGUAUGAUCGAAUAUCGAAUAGGUAAUAAUCGUUGUUACUCGUUAUGUGAGAAAAAAUUAUGUAUAUUCACAACUAUGACUAUUGCAUUUUAGGCGUUUGGCCAUGGAUCGUUGCAUUAGGUUUUCGUAAUCCCCGAAACCCAGACAAACCACUAUGGAAGUGCGGAGGUUCCCUGAUAUCGGCUAGGCAUGUUUUGACCGCAGCACAUUGUGCACAUAUGGAUGGAAUAGAAAACAUACACAAUCAUAAUAUUGCCAUUCUUAGAUUGGUGGAGGAGGUGCCAUUUUCGAGGUACGUAUAUCCCAUUUGUACGAAAGAGCUCCUGCGAAAGAGCAACUUCGUCGGCUAUAACCCCCUUGUUGCUGGAUGGGGAGCAUUAAGAUAUAGACGACCACGACGUAAUGCAUUAAUGGAAGUACAAAUGCCAGUGAUUAAGAACGCCGAAUGCAAAAUAGCUUAUUCCAAAUUUCCUAAUGCACCUGAUGUCACUGAUGGUAUAAUAUGCGCCGAACGUGCUCAGGGUGGAAAGGAUUCUUGUACGGCUGACCGCGGCGGACCACUGCUGAUACAACAUGAAUUAACCUCGUAUUUAAUAGGUAUUGUGUCUUAUGCUUAUAAGUGCGGCACAGCUGGGUAUCCCAGCGUUUACACUAGGGUCACAUCGUACCUUGACUUCAUUCUCCAAGCGAUGCAAUAAUAUGAUAUUACUGUUCCAUAAAUAUCAUUGUGUAAAAAACGUAAAGUUGGAUUUUCUUAUUGUGGAGAUAAGAAACAGCUCAAAUUUACAUUGUUUUGUACGUUACAAAUUAUAGGCUUAAAAUGUACGAAAUGUAACUUUGAAACGACACUAAUUUUUUACGCACGAUAAACCUCCACGACUUAGAUUAUAGAUUCCUAUACGACUCUCAGUAAAAAUUUAUCCGCACUCCAGAUAGUUAAAACUUCUGUCGACCGUAUUGAUCCAUCUGCACUCUUCGUAUGACGUCAAUAUCUGUUCAGUGCUGCUGCGCAGGUUUCUUUGUGUUACGUCAAUUCGUUUGUGACCGUUGCGCGAGUAAUGGCGCUUUGCAAUGGUGAUUUGCAGGAAAACAGUGCAGAAUGCUGUGAUUCGUUUCUUGUGGUCGGAGGUUAUGUUUGAUGCCUAUAUUUAUCAAAGAUUUAAUGCACAUUAUGGAGAAAGUGUUUUGUCACGAAGUGUGUUUGAAUGGGCACAAAGGUUCAAAGAAGAUCGCACAAGUGUUAUGAAAAAACAGGUGGACGCCCGUCCACAUCCACGUUGACAACAUUGAACGUGUUCAUGAACUUAUGCUCUAUGGAAUAGACGAGUGACACUGGAUAAUGUGGCAAAUCAUUUGCAAAUCAGCCACGGCUCUGCUUAUGCAAUAGUGCACGACAGAUUUGGGUUUCAAAAAGUUUGUGCGAGAUGGAUGCCGAAAAAGCUGAUGAAAAGGUGAAGACGACGAUGCAUUCGUGGUUCGCAGCUCAGCCCAAAACAUUUUUUAAUGAGAAAAUACGAAGGUCCUUCGGCAAAUGGACAAAGUGUAUACAGAAAUUGAGUGAUUAUGUCAAAAAAUGAUGUAUGUCUUUUUUGACAAUUGCUUAAAAUAAAUUCUACACCGACA